AUAUUAUGAUGGGGGCAUUUUCUCAACAACUACUUAAAAUGCUCCCAUGCAUCAUACAAAGACUCCCUCUCCAUCUAAUAUAAAUUAUUAAUCUCUCCCUUCAACUU